rnacentral:rRNA from 1 species
AAAUUGAAGAGUUUGAUCAUGGCUCAGAUUGAACGCUGGCGGCAGGCCUAACACAUGCAAGUCGAGCGGUAGCACAAGAGAGCUUGCUCUCUGGGUGACGAGCGGCGGACGGGUGAGUAAUGUCUGGGAAACUGCCUGAUGGAGGGGGAUAACUACUGGAAACGGUAGCUAAUACCGCAUAACGUCUACGGACCAAAGUGGGGGACCUUCGGGCCUCACGCCAUCAGAUGUGCCCAGAUGGGAUUAGCUAGUAGGUGGGGUAAUGGCUCACCUAGGCGACGAUCCCUAGCUGGUCUGAGAGGAUGACCAGCCACACUGGAACUGAGACACGGUCCAGACUCCUACGGGAGGCAGCAGUGGGGAAUAUUGCACAAUGGGCGCAAGCCUGAUGCAGCCAUGCCGCGUGUGUGAAGAAGGCCUUAGGGUUGUAAAGCACUUUCAGCGAGGAGGAAGGGUAGUGUGUUAAUAGCACAUUACAUUGACGUUACUCGCAGAAGAAGCACCGGCUAACUCCGUGCCAGCAGCCGCGGUAAUACGGAGGGUGCAAGCGUUAAUCGGAAUUACUGGGCGUAAAGCGCACGCAGGCGGUUUGUUAAGUCAGAUGUGAAAUCCCCCGCGCUUAACGUGGGAACUGCAUUUGAAACUGGCAAGCUAGAGUCUUGUAGAGGGGGUAGAAUUCCAGGUGUAGCGGUGAAAUGCGUAGAGAUCUGGAGGAAUACCGGUGGCGAAGGCGGCCCCCUGGACAAAGACUGACGCUCAGGUGCGAAAGCGUGGGGAGCAAACAGGAUUAGAUACCCUGGUAGUCCACGCUGUAAACGAUGUCGAUUUGGAGGUUGUGCCCUUGAGGCGUGGCUUCCGGAGCUUAACGCGUUAAAUCGACCGCCUGGGGAGUACGGCCCGCAAGGUUAAAACUCAAAUGAAUUGACGGGGCCCCGCACAAGCGGUGGAGCAUGUGGUUUAAUUCGAUGCAACGCGAAGAACCUUACCUACUCUUGACAUCCAGAGAACUUUCCAGAGAUGGAUUGGUGCCUUCGGGAACUCUGAGACAGGUGCUGCAUGGCUGUCGUCAGCUCGUGUUGUGAAAUGUUGGGUUAAGUCCCGCAACGAGCGCAACCCUUAUCCUUUGUUGCCAGCGAUUCGGCUCGGAACUCAAAGGAGACUGCCGGUGAUAAACCGGAGGAAGGUGGGGAUGACGUCAAGUCAUCAUGGCCCUUACGAGUAGGGCUACACACGUGCUACAAUGGCGUAUACAAAGAGAAGCGAACUCGCGAGAGCAAGCGGACCUCAUAAAGUACGUCGUAGUCCGGAUUGGAGUCUGCAACUCGACUCCAUGAAGUCGGAAUCGCUAGUAAUCGUAGAUCAGAAUGCUACGGUGAAUACGUUCCCGGGCCUUGUACACACCGCCCGUCACACCAUGGGAGUGGGUUGCAAAAAGAAGUAGGUAGCUUAACCUUCGGGAGGCGCGCUUACCACUUUGUGAUUCAUGACUGGGGUGAAGUCGUAACAAGGUAACCGUAGGGGAACCUGCGGUUGGAUCACCUCCUUA